ensembl:lncRNA
GUCCGGAGAAGGAAAUGGCAACCCACUCCAGUGUUCUUGCCUGGAGAAUCCCAGGGACGGAGGAGCGUGGUGGACUUCCAUCUAUGGGGUCGCACAGAGUCGGAGACGACUGAGGCGACUUAGCAGCAGCAGCAGCAGCAGCAGCAGCAGCAGCAGCAGCAGAGAACUGCCCUUUCUGCUUCUCGCCAAGCCCAGCGAAAGCGACCCGGGGGUGGGAUGAGGGGCGCGCGGGUGGGGUGAGGGUCACGUACAUCGGCCCUUCUCUUCCCUGCCCGCGCCACCAAUCCCCGCUUGCACGCCCCGGGGACCCAGGCCCCAGCCCCCAGCCCAGCCCAGGCGGUCCCCGCGGCGCGCGCGCCCUCGGGCCCAGAUGCCCCAGGGGCUCCGGCGAGUGCUCGGAGGCUGCUGCAAACCUCACGUGUCUCCCCUCCCUCCUCGACCCCCCGGCAUCCUCCGAGCUGCAGGUUAGAGCCACGUGGGUGGGAUGCCCUCCAAUGGAUGAGAGGAUUCGAGGGGGUGAGCCCCCUCCUUCCUGCGGAGAGCAGGGUAGAGCCCAGCACAUCAACAGGGGGCGCCAGGCCCCUUCACUCCUGCACCUCCUCCAGCGUCCCACGCCCCACCCCCGCCUAGAAUCCCAUGCUCCAGGAGGGGCCGGCCAGCUGUUGAGCCUCUGAGCCCUGAACGGACCGGAUCGCGUCUGCUAGAAAGUCUUUCUACUAGAAGUUGCUGUCAGUUCCCCCAAGGGUGACAAGCAUCUGGAUGCCCAAGAGUUGACCUGAUGGACCCAGAGACCAAGUCCAGGUCCUCACUGCUUGGAGGAGCUGCCUGACACAGGAGCGUGUCGUAACCAUCUGUCUGGGCACUGGCCACCUGCUCCCCUAAGACUAUGCCCACCCAGCUUUCCUGUCAUUUUUCAUUGUUGAUUUAGACGAGUUCUCGGCCUCCCAAGGACAGGAAGAGAAUUCUGGAGGAGACUCCGAGGCUGCAGGGGGAAGGCCUUAGGGUCCUGCUUGGUUAUAGUUCCAACUCCGUGACAUUCUGAGAAAAAGCAAAAUGAUGGAGCCCGUAAAAGGAUCAGUGGUUACUGG